CUUCUCCUAAAGGCCCAGGCUGUGUGGCCCCGUGUCCUGCAGGUAUUGGGAGAUCCACAGCUAAGACACCGGGACCUCCUGGAAGCCAAAAAUGUAAUGUGUUCUCAUUUUGCCCAAGACCUUUGGCCAGAGCAGAGCAUGAAAGAUUCUUUCCAAAAAGUGGUACUGAGAAGAUAUGAAAAAUGUGAACAUGACAAUUUACAGUUAAAAAAAGGAUGUAUAAGUGUGGAUGAGUGUAAGGUGCACAAAGAAGGUUAUAAUGAACUUAACCAAUGUUUGACAACUACCCCAAGAAAAAUAUGUCAAUGUGAUAAAUAUGUGAAAGUCCUUCAUCAAUUUCCAAAUUCAAACGGACAAAAGAGAGGACAUACUGGGAAAAAACCUUUCAAAUAUAUAGAAUGUGGCAAAGCUUUUAAGCAGUUCUCAACUCUUACUACACAUAAGAAAAUUCAUACUGGAGGGAAACCCUACAAAUGUGAAGAAUGUGGCAAAGCCUUUAAC
rnacentral:lncRNA from 1 species